UGUACUUGGAUCGGAUCGGAUCGGAUUCGAAUUUAGUUUGGACAAUUCGGAUCCAUGUUUUGAAAACCGAAAUCAAUUUGGAUUUACUUGAUUGGAUCGGAUCAAACCGAUCCAUCCAAACGAACACCCCUAUAAAUUAGGGCUUUUUAUGUAUUCGUUCAUUUGAUCGAUCGGGGAGGAAAUAUGAACGAAGCAAAGGCGAUUGGAACGGGAAUGAACGACUGAAAUCAAACGAACGAAGAGAGGGGAAAACGAACAAGAAGGCAGCGGGGCUGCCGUUGGUUUCGGGGGUGCAAUCGCGAAGGGGACGGAAGGAAAAAGGAUACCGAUCGGGUUAAGGGGAAAGAAUUAAACGAAGGCUGCGAAGGCAGAUGAACGGAAGCAGUGAACGAAGGUAGACGAAAUCUCGGAGGCGCGCUUCGUCGGUUGAUUCGCGAAGAGGGAGGAGUCUCCGGGUCGACGAGUCCGAAGGGGAAGAAAGAGGGAGGCAGCGAGGCUGCUGUUCAAGCAGCUUCUCGACUGCUUGCUUCGAUUCCAGCAGCGGUGUGCAAAGGGGAGAUGCGUGGGUGAGGUACGAGAGGCAAAAGAUGUCCGAUGGAAGUCCGGUUGGCAGCCAUACGUCGCUGGUCAGGGCCUCGGUGGUGUUUGCUCGACAAUCCCGAUGUUUCCCCCUUGUUUUGGCAGUCUCGAUCAACCACAGAAAUCGAUGGUUGUUUGGGUUGGGUCGUUUGACAGGGGAUGAAGAAGAACUUGGAGGCUGCUGUUAAUUUAAAUCAAAAGGAAGAAGAAGAAACGAGAUGAAGAAUGAUGAGGCAGUUGUUAUCAUUUUGAAGUCAAUCGUUAUAAUCUUAUAUGGUUUCGUAUGUAUUGUUAUCUACGAAAUCUUUGAGUGUGUCUUGCAUCUCUGAAGUCUUUUUGAUUGUGAAUUUGGGUUGUGAUAGAUAGAGUAUGUGUGUAGGUUAUGUAUAAAAUGAUUUUAUGCACGGAAUCUUGAUUUUAAAUCAAGAUAUGGAAGAUACAGGAAUGAUCCAGGGAAGAUUUUUGGAAUCGUAUAAGUGUACUUCAUUAUUUGAGCUAAUAAAAUAAAUUAUUUUUGGUUGUAUAAUA